UCCUUAUCUCCAAAUCCUUUCUCAUUUCUCCUUUAUUUGCAACCAACCACCCCCACCAGCUAUACCCACCCAAAUAUGAAGCUCGACUUGAGAGAGCUGAUCAGAGGAGUGUUGGGGCAGAAGGGAGAGGAGGGCGGAGAGAGCCGUAAUCAAUCCCAUCGUUGCUUCCAUUUUUGUUCCUUGGUUUUCUUUGUUUUCGUUUCUCAGAGGCCAUGAACGCAGCAACCAAGUUGGCUCGAUAUGCUCGUCUUCACUUUCUUUCUCCGUCUACCCCACUUGCCAAAUAAGUUUUGCUCUCAUACAGUCUCACUGUAAAAUCCAAGGUCCCUUUUUGGCCCGAAAAAGUUUAUGCUACUUUCGAAGCUCCAAUCUUGAAAACCAAGAUCCAGUUUAGAAAAGAAGAAAUGCUCUCGAAAAUCUCAGUUACCCACGUGAAAGCAUCACCAUCUGCAUCCACUUCUGGAUUUAUUAAUUUUUUUAAAGGGUUGAAAUAUAAUUUUGCCUCUGCACACAUUUAGCACAGGCAAUUAAACUGACGGAAUUGAGAUAUGUGACUUGAUUUGUUA